CCGUUUCUGCUUUCGGCGGUUAUCUCUCCUUGGGGGUUGACGGACUUUAUUGAAAUUUCUUUUCUUGUCUACGUCCCUGGAUAUGACCCCGUUUACGACCAUGACCAUGGCCCUUUUCAUGUUUGGCAUAAUGACAGUGCACCUUAUCUGCUUCAGGCAGUGGUGUAGACCCAAUGGGUCGAUUUUCGUGAUUUCUCAUGAACAGGUCAUUAUUUCGCUCAGCCACUAGUAGAAGAG
rnacentral:lncRNA from 1 species